rnacentral:lncRNA from 1 species
CUACAUGGAGAAUACUCCAGCGUAUGUCGCGCCGGAAGAUGUGUACACGACGUACCGUACAAUGGGUAACGCCGAGCAUCCUAGGCUGAACCAGAACUUCAAUCUGACAUGGCUCUUCCCAGUUGAUGCCGGGUUUAACUACCUCGUCAGGCUUCAUUUCUGUGAGACUCUAUCGGAUGUGAACGGACCGGGCCAACGUGUCUUCACCAUCUUCAUUGGAAAUAAGAUUGCAAAGCUUGACAUGGAUGUCAUUCAGCUGAGCGGUGGUUCUCGCAUUCCGGUGUAUCUAGACUUCAGUGUGCUUGUUGGUUUUGAAAGUGGGCCGCGACCUGAUCUACGACUUGACUUGCAUCCUUACACGGACAGUGGCCCAAAGUAUUACGAUGCUAUUCUCAAUGGCGUAGAGAUCCUCAAGCUUAGUGUCUCUGGCGGAAAUCUUGCUGGACCUAAUCCUAAUCCUACGUCAGGUCUUACUCCAAACUCUGUAAAUCAAGAUAUACAAAAACCCAAAGCCAAGUCACACGUUUUGGUAAUAACACUUGGAACUGUUGGGUUUGCAAUUGUGUUAGCAAUGUUUAUUGUUGUUGUCAUCGUCAUGAAGAGGAGGAAGAAGAAAAAGAAGGUUAAUGUAGACACCAAGAGCAAGCCUACGGACUCGUGGACUACUCUUCCGCUUGUUGCCGGGUCCUCCCAUACCAGAUCGACCACAUCUCUUCCAUCCGAUCUCUGCCGUCGGUUCUCCAUCCUCGAGAUCAAAUCCGCCACAAACAAUUUCGAGAAAAAGCUGAUCGUUGGAGUAGGCGGGUUUGGUCCUGUCUACAAAGGAAGAAUCGACGGUGGAGCCACGCUUGUGGCUGUUAAACGGUUAGAUGUUUCAUCCAACCAAGGCGCUACCGAGUUCGAAGCAGAGCUCAAGAUGCUCUCGGUGCUCCGUCAUAUACAUCUCGUUUCCUUAAUCGGAUAUUGCGACGAUGUUCCUCUCUCUCUCUCUCUCUCUCUCUCUCUCUCUCUCUCUCUCUCUCUCUCUCUCACGAAACGUACAACUAGUUAAACUGGUACAACUAUUAGCAGUUGUACAACAAAUAAUUGCUUGGCUACAACAGCGACAAAAAUGCUAGCGACAACGACUACGAAGAAACCAUCUACGAAGAAAGAAGCGACGAAGAAAGCAACAGUGAGGGAAGCAGAAACGAGGGAAACGAAAACGAGGGAAGUGAUAAAUGAGUUUUGCUUAUGUGUUAUGAACAUUGCUUAUGUGUUGUGGAACUUAUUCAUGUGUUAGGGAUGCUAUUUAUGUGUUUUUAAACUUUGCAAUGGAGAAAAUUUGUAAUGUAUUGUUUCUGUCAGAUAUUACUGGUACAAUUGGUACUUCAUAUAAUACACAUUCAUGUUUAUGUGUUAUAACACUGGAAAAACUAGUACAACUAUACAAGUUGUAAAGUCUUUAGAAUGGUACAUCCUAACUAUUAGAAGUUUUAUCAAAAAAAAUCCGCAAUUAUAAACAAUCACAUAAGUUUCCAUUAUUUACCUUAUAAUUUAAAGGUUUGUUUACUUGUUUGUUCACUAUAUUUUUGAAAAAUAUACACUGGAUAUAUUUUAACAAAGUUAAUGAUUCCAUAGUAUGUGAUUCUAGGUAUUUAAAUAUAUACAAGUAGUACAACUGAUGUAUCUUUAUUUAAUAUUUGGUACAACUAGAUAUUUCAAAUUCUGGACCAAAAUACAACUAUGUACAAACUUGUACAACCCAAAACUCGGUACAACUAUGUAUACGAUUGUACAACUAAAAUAUUGGUACAACUACAUGUUAAUAAAUUUGGCACAUUUUAAUUGUUUACCACAUUUAAAUGCUCACUACGUUUUAAACAUGAUAGUUUUACCUUCUUUCGUUUAGUUGUACAAAUUGUACCCGUCAGAGUAAUUUUGUCAUAGUUAAUCUGGUUAAUUUAAUUAUACCAAAAACCUGUCAAGUUUAAACCUUUUGAAUUAACCCUAAAAACUUUUAAAUGUGCACUUUAACCUAUAUGGUAUUAUGCAUAUGCAAUAGAAACAUUUAGAUUCAUCUUAAAUAGUUUAAAUGUCUAAAAAAUGUUAAAAUGUAUUAAAUUCAUGAGAUAUAAAUAUUUCAUGUUUUAAACAUGAUUUUGUAUCAUUCAUUUAUUUUCUGGUAAAACCAUUCAUUUACUGGUAAAACUGGCAUAACAUUACAUUGUAUCCAAAAUUGUAUUUCUAGUAUAACUGUCAUUUCAAAAUUGAGAAAAUAGUGUGGGUUAUUGGUUAUACUAUUUUGAUAGAUUUACAAUUUUUUUAGAUUUAGAAAUCUUUGAUAAAUCCAUGAUUUUUAAAUCAAACAAGUGGAUUUUAAGAAUAAUUUAUGUAUUGCAAAAUCUAAAUAGAUUACUACCCAAUGUUAAAACAACAUAACUCAAGUUCUAGCACAAUUAAACUAGUAAUACUACUAUUGUAUCUAAACUAGUUGUACCACUUAUAUUAUUAUUGUCGUAGUCCAAACACCAAACAUGAAUGUUUAUGCAUCAUUUUCGAACUCAAAAAUGAUUUUUACAUAUUCCUUUGCACUUUGUUCUACUAAAUCUUCAUCUACUGUAAUUUUUUUCUAGCUUGCCAUCCACCGUCUUCGGCUUCGGAAGCAAAAAGAUGAAGAUGCAUAUUUUUUUGAAAAUAGUACAACUAGUAUAACUAGUACAACUUGCAAAUAAAUCAUUAUUAAAAUCAAAUAUUAUUGAAAAUUUACUAUUCAUGUAUUUUGACACAUGCAAGCGGGGAAGGUUAGAUCAACAUGUCUCAUUGGUUUCACAUCAUCCACUUUUCUAGCAUCACUCAUAUGCUGAAAUAAAAACGAAAUAUUGUCAUACUAAUUACAAAGUUAUACUAGUUAUACGCGUUUUAGUUGUACCAGUUAUACUUAAUGUAUUAGUACUAGUUAUAUUUGUUUUAGUUGUACUAGUUAUACUAGUGCGCGUUGUACUAGUUGUAUUAGUUAGAGUCAUACUAGUUGUACUGUACGCUGGGUUUUUUUUUGUCAUGAAUUUCGUGAGAAAAAAAUAAAAUUCAAUUUUUGAUAAGACAUAAUUGGUUACAUACAACUAUGGGUUGACCAAUUUUGGAUAAGAAAAAGAAAGUUAGUGAAUAUUUGAAGGAAAUUUUUGAUUUUUUAAAGGUGAAAGAAACAUCCAUGGAAAAAUAAAAAAAAGGAAGAAGAAAAAGAUGUUAUGUUGAUAACGAUGUGUGUCCCAGAAUUUGAUCCCAUAGAAUCGUAGAAACCGUGUUAUGUUGCAUCAUUUUAAAGUGGAAUGACACACGAACAAGUUGGACGUAUAACGACAAGGUGCUAAAUUAAAAGACAUGGAAGAAGUUUCGUCGGAAACUUCUUCUUUUGCUUGAGCUGAAAAGUCAGUUAAGGGUUGACCCGUUGACUUACUCACCACCACCCAUGGUUUUGCUUCAGUUUCUUAUCUUCUUCUUUACCAUUCACAAUAUCAUUCAACAACUCUCACUCUAUCAGUUCCUAUGACUUUUCAAGUUUUCUUAAUCUUCUCCAUUCUCGUUUCUACAGCCAUAGCAGGAGACGGUGCAACCGCUGCGUACGUUCCCACUGAUAUCUUUCUCUUCAACUGUGGCGAAACAUCCAACCAGAUGGACAUAAGUGGCCGUAACUGGAUGGCAGAGCAACCAAAUAUUCUUCCGUCAAAUGCAGCCAUAGCGUCGUUUGUUUCACAUGCGUCAUUCCAAGGAUCGGGAGUUCCUCAGGUUCCGUACAUGACUGCUCGAAUUUUCCGACAUGAUUUCACCUACAGUUUUCCCGUGUCUCCGGGCUGGAAGUUCCUCCGGUUAUACUUUUACCCUACCCGUUACAGUUCCGACCUCGAAGCUGCCGUAAACUCCUACUUCUCUGUCACCGUCAACGGUUUUACUCUCUUGAAGAACUUCCGUGCCGAUUUAACGGCAAAGGCUUCUCAUGAUGCGUCCAUAUUUAAGGAGUUCAUAGUCCCUGUUUCGAGUGGAUACACGAUGCUAAAUCUCACGUUCUCACCUUCUUUAAACAUGUUAGCUUUCGUGAACGGCAUCGAGAUUGUCUCCAUGCCUGAUCGGUUUUACUCCAAGGGAGGCUUCGACGACAAAAUAAAACAGGUAGGUAAUAGCAUUGACUUCGAGAUAAACAACAGCACGGCUUUCGAAACUGUUCACCGGCUAAACAUCGGUGGACAACUGAUUGACGGCAUAAGUGAUACAGGGAUGUUCCGGCCGUGGCUUGCUGAAAAGUUUCAACUAAGUGAAAAGUCGGGAAUCGUGCCAGUCGUUCCGGGUGUAAAGAUCAACUACAUGGAGAAUACUCCAGCGUAUGUCGCGCCGGAAGAUGUGUACACGACGUACCGUACAAUGGGUAACGCCGAGCAUCCUAGGCUGAACCAGAACUUCAAUCUGACAUGGCUCUUCCCAGUUGAUGCCGGGUUUAACUACCUCGUCAGGCUUCAUUUCUGUGAGACUCUAUCGGAUGUGAACGGACCGGGCCAACGUGUCUUCACCAUCUUCAUUGGAAAUAAGAUUGCAAAGCUUGACAUGGAUGUCAUUCAGCUGAGCGGUGGUUCUCGCAUUCCGGUGUAUCUAGACUUCAGUGUGCUUGUUGGUUUUGAAAGUGGGCCGCGACCUGAUCUACGACUUGACUUGCAUCCUUACACGGACAGUGGCCCAAAGUAUUACGAUGCUAUUCUCAAUGGCGUAGAGAUCCUCAAGCUUAGUGUCUCUGGCGGAAAUCUUGCUGGACCUAAUCCUAAUCCUACGUCAGGUCUUACUCCAAACUCUGUAAAUCAAGAUAUACAAAAACCCAAAGCCAAGUCACACGUUUUGGUAAUAACACUUGGAACUGUUGGGUUUGCAAUUGUGUUAGCAAUGUUUAUUGUUGUUGUCAUCGUCAUGAAGAGGAGGAAGAAGAAAAAGAAGGUUAAUGUAGACACCAAGAGCAAGCCUACGGACUCGUGGACUACUCUUCCGCUUGUUGCCGGGUCCUCCCAUACCAGAUCGACCACAUCUCUUCCAUCCGAUCUCUGCCGUCGGUUCUCCAUCCUCGAGAUCAAAUCCGCCACAAACAAUUUCGAGAAAAAGCUGAUCGUGGGAGUAGGCGGGUUUGGUCCUGUCUACAAAGGAAGAAUUGACGGUGGAGCCACACUUGUGGCAGUUAAACGGUUAGAUAUUUCAUCCAACCAAGGCGUUAACGAGUUCGAAGCAGAGCUCAAGAUGCUCUCGAUGCUCCGUCAUAUACAUCUCGUUUCCUUAGUCGGAUAUUGCGACGAUGAGAACGAGAUGGUUCUUGUCUACGAGUAUAAGCCACAUGGCACACUUAGAGACCAUCUCUACAAGAGAAACAAGGUUUUUGAUCCCCCAUUGUCGUGGAAACGGAGGCUAGAGAUUUGCGUCGGUGCGGCUCGUGGACUACAGUAUCUCCAUACAGGCGCGAAGGACAUGAUCAUUCAUAGAGACAUCAAAACUACAAACAUACUUCUUGAUGAGAACUACGUAGCUAAAGUCUCCGACUUUGGGUUAUCAAAAGUGGGUCUUACAAGCUCAUCUCAAACGCACGUCUCAACGGUCGUUAAAGGAUCGUUUGGUUACUUGGACCCUGAGUAUUAUCGCCGUCAAGUCUUGACGGAAAAAUCUGACGUGUACUCCUUCGGAGUUGUUCUGUUCGAAGUCUUGUGUUGUAGACCGGUCAAGCUCGAAAGCGCUCCACGAGAGGAAGCAGAUUUGAUCCGAUGGGUGAAGUCAAAUUACAAAAAAGGAACCGUUGAUCAGAUCGUUGACGCAGAUCUAACGGCUGAGAUUACUCCGCUAUCGCUGGAGAAAUUCUGUGAGAUCGCUGUGCGAUGUGUUCAAGAUCGUGGUAUCGAACGGCCAUCAAUGAACGACGUCGUUUGGGCGCUUGAGUUCGCACUUCAGCUUCAUGAAGCUGCUAAGGAUAAGAAUGGCGUGGACUCUCUUGAUAUCCCGAGACGUGACGAGGUAGGUACGACGACAGACGGAGAAAAUAACUUGUUUAGUAGGACUACGGGACGCAUGUCAAAAUCUGUGACGAGCGAUGAUGAUUCUGCUCGUCUUGCUGGCGACGAGAGGAGCGGAUCGAGUUGGGGAGUAUUUUCGGAGAUAAAAGACCCCAGAGCACGGUAAAUUGUUGAAUAUGUAAUAUGUAUAUAUAACUGUUGAAAAAAAACAUAAUAUGUAAGUUUUUUUGUGUACUAUAUUUUCUGUUUUGAAUCAUAUGAGUCGUAUAAUGUCUAAUUUACCAUGUAUUUAACUUGUUACAUAAACAAACAUACCUAAAAUAGUUAAAAUAAAUAAUUUUCUUAAAAAUGUUACUGCAUGAACGUAUAGAAACUCAGUAGUCACAGUUUUUUAUUUUAUUUAGAAACUCAUUAAGCACAUUUCCUACAAUACCUCUAACCCUUAAAUUUUGAAGUAUUUUCUUUCCAAUAAGUUCAGCAUGGUAUCUCGGCUUUUAGUAGAAUUGAAAUUGGUCUAUUCUCGUUUCUCUUCUAUCAUUCUCCUCCGAUGAGUUCAGCAUGGUAUAACCGAUCCAUUUCGGGAUCUCCUCAACUUCUCCUGCUAUCUUCGGGCUUCGAUCUCGCCUCGUUUGAACUCGCCCGCGCGAGUUGGGCCCUUUCUACAUUCAAAGCUGUACGGCCCAUCUUUUAUCCGACCCAAUCAUAAUUUGACCGAAAUUGGAUCCAACGCCAUCUAAACUACACCACCUACAGACCUACUCUUCAUCCCUCUACUUUACACAUUUCCACGAUAUGCCAACCUACCCAAUGUACAUCCACGAAAUUCCCGUCCAAAAUAAAUCUAUCCAGAACUCACUAAUUCAUAACCCACUUAUCUGUUUUCAAAUUUAAGCAGUGAGUAUUGCAUUUGCAGGACCAUCCAUCCAUCCAAGCCUCAACGAUCCAUGAGCGUGUCAUUGGCCAGACUUAACUCAUACACAGAUCACCCAUUAAAGUCUCACCCAUUGACGUUGCAUCCAUCCUUGCGAACGUCCACCAAAUGUCAUCCACAAUUUUGUUAAACCACUAGUCGUACACUAACUUAAAUCCACUAACACCAACUAAACUUUCAUAAGCAUAUUCUCAAAUUCAACCCUUGUAUCCCCAAAACAAAUUCUUUAAUUUUUACAAGUUUGAAAAGGUGGUCAUACAAAUGUGUUAAUACAUUUCAAACAUCCCUCUCAAACUGUAUUCUAUGAUAUCAUGUCUAUGAUUUAUAAUUUUUCAAAACUUGUUGGCAGAAACAUGUCCACACUCCACACAAUAUUGUAAAUGAUAUCAAUGUAUUAUUUUCUAUGAUAUACAAUUUAUCAAGACAUGUCUACUAUAUUAUUGAAUAAUUUAAAGUCAUUAAUUAUUAUAUAUAUAACUAAAUUGGCGUGAGAACACAAAUUAAAACAAUUAGUGUUAUUUAUUACAAUCAUUUUUGAUGGUAAAUUAAUCUAAAAAUCAUUUAUAUAUUUUAUAUGAUAUAUAAUUAAAUUUCAAUGAUUUUAAUAUAGAUAUAAAGUAUAUUUUUAAUAGGAUAUCUGUUAAAUGAUUUUUUAUACUCAUAUGGUUUUAUGAUCAUUUGUUUAUUUUCUAAUAUAAAUUUAAAUUAUUGAAAAAAAAAAUUUCAAUGUGAGACUUUUAAGGGAAAAUUUCAUUUUUGCCACUUUUAUGGUACCACUUUUCAUCUUUACCACCACUAAGGUGUUGACUAGUUUCUCCGCUACCACCCGCAAACGCAUCUUUUGCGGUUGGUAACAGUUGACAGUGUUUCGAAACAAUCAUACAAACCGCUACAAAUCGCUUCAAACCGCUCCGAACCUCUUAAAAUCAAAAGCUGGUUCCAGCUAGCAUUUGCGGUUGCGAGCUGUUGCGGGAUGAUAAUUUUUUUUCCUUUUUAUUAAAACAUAUAAAUACAAAAAUAAAAAUAAAAAUAAAAAUUUAAAAUUGGAAUUAUAAAAAUACUAAAAUAUAUCUAUUAUAUUUUAAUUACUAUUAUAAAAUUGUAAAAUAAAAAUAUUUUCUAUAAUUUAAAAAAAUUUAAAACUAUAACUUUCUAAAUAUAAUUUUCAUAUUAUUAUAAUAUUAUGAUUUUUGAUAUUUUAUAAUUAAAUAAAAUGUAAAUAUUGUUAAUUUAUUAUUUAACCGCUACUGUAUUUGGUAGUUAACCAGUCAUAAGUAUCCCGCAAAUACACCAAUUUCUAACCACAUAACCAGUCAUACAAAUCUCUUAAAACCGUUAGAAACCGCAGCCACAUGCAUCCGCAAACUCCCACAACCGCAACCGCUGCGUUUGAACCAGUCAGACCCUUAAACGAACAUUUUCAAAAAUACAUUCUUCAUUAAGUUGCAAAAGACUCUUAUACCAUUUUUCUCUAUUUUUUUAUGUUUUCAAAUUAUACUUCUUCAAAUUCGAACUUUUUUAUAAAUUUUUAUUUUUGAAUUUUCUUUUUAAAAUUUUUUUUUAUUUAUUUUUUUUCAAAAUUUCUUUUGAAAAUCGAAAAUUAUGUUUGAAACUAUUUUUAAAAAUAAAAUUAAAUUUUUUAAAGUAUUUAUUUAUAUAUUUAUUAGAAUCCUAAAUUUCACAUUCCAAAAACCAUACCACACCUUUCAACUCUAAACCCUAAGUCUAGAUUAGUUAACCCUAGUGGUAUAAAUAUCUUUUAUCUUUCAUUAAAAUGGUAAAAAUGGUUAAUGUAAACAUGAAAAAUGUUAGUAUGAAUGUGAUAUUUGUGACAAUUUUCUGACUUUUAAUAGUUUUAAUAAUUUAUCAUCGUUCUUGAAAAUUCAAUAUAAAUUUUAAAAUUAAAUAUUAAGUUUUCAAUACUUUGUUCGAUGCAAAAUUUGAAAUUUAAUUAUAUAUUUUUAUAUAGUAUAUAGUUUACUUUAAAUGAUAUUAUAUAUAUAUUUAUUUAUUUUUAUCUGAACAAGUCUUAUAACUACCAAAGUAUAAUUUUGAUACUAAAUAUCUAAAAUUUUAAAAUCGUUUGACUAUUAAAAAUAUAUCAUAAGUAUAUAAACAAAAUCCUAUGUCAAUGAAUAUUAAAUAUGUAUUUUUUAAUAUCUAAAGUUUAUAUUACUCUUAUAAAUAAGUUUCCUUCCACUUUGGAAUCAAAUUAGAUUUGACUCGUGUCAUUCAGGGAUCCCUUGUCAUUCAUUCUAAUUCUGUAUUUGCUUCUCAAUUUCGAUCAGUGUCUCCUACUUUAACGUUUUUAUAUGAGUUCUUGAUAGCUUUAAUUUAUGUGUGGGAAUUUACACUCCUCACAUAAAAAUGUCCUUUUAGUCCUUAAUUUUCUAUCUUCACAGGCUAUUAUUCUUAUGGUUCAUCAUCCUGACAAAACCACAAUUCCAUUCACCGGUAGCGGACAAAACACACACGAGCAAGUUGGACAUAAACGACACAGCACUAAAUUGUUGACAUGGUAGAAUUUUCAUGGAAGCUUUCUUCUUUUGCUUGGUUCUUAGAAGUCAUUCAAUGGUCGACCCGUAGUAGACUCACACACGACAGAACCACGCAUGGCUUGGCUUCAAUAUACACUCACAAUCUCAUAUCUCGUCUCCAUCACUCUCAAUCCUUCGACAAUUAGCUAAAGAUCUUUAUUUCUGACACAGAAAAAAGUUAUUUCAUUGCUCAAAACUUGAAGUAGUCCGUGUAACCAGAUCAGAACAUAACAAUUUAUAAAACCAAAAUUUUUAUCUCUAUGAAAAAAAACUAGCCAUUUUGCUGAAAAAUCUACAUCUCCAUUUUGACCGCUAAGGCGAACAUGCCGUGCCUUGCUCCGGUUUGUUAUGUAAUCAACUGACCGCGAGGUGACCGGAUCUUUGAUGUUUAUUCGUAGACUUGAAGCUUACUACCUCGGGCUGCAAAGCACCCCUUUUGGGCAGAAAUAGUUGGGCUUUGCCGAUGAACUGUGUCUUCAUUGUCUGUUUAAUCCGUCGUGAGUAGAACUUUUCUGGGCCGGAUUUUUAUGAUAAAUUCGUCUGCAACAGACAGCUGGGUAACGCCCGUGCCGGUGGGAUUAGCUCCGACCAUCUUUGAUCUUUCUUGGCAUUGAUUUCUAAUUCCUUAGAGACGGUGCAUUUGUUUACUCUGAAUUCGAGAUGUAUGAGAUGAAGUUACAAAUUCGAUGGUGAGUUAUUUGAAAGACUAAGUAAUCGUAAAGAGAUGAUGAAAUCGGCAAAAACAUUAAAGUUGUGUAAACCCUAGUUCUUGUGCCAAUUUUUGUAUGACUGUAAAUGUGUUUGUUUUCCUCGAUCUUCUCCUUGUAUAGCCGACUUUUUUAUUUUUAUUUCUCCAAAUCAGUGCAUUUAUUUGACCGCCUUUUAGUAAAUUGGGUCGCGCUCAAUUAUUUGAUAGACUUUAUUUGAGGGAUGUAAUUCAUCUCCAACACCCUAGAUUAUGUACCAUUGCUAACAACUCCUUCCAAUAUGUCCUAAAAUUCUCACCGUUAGAGUACUAUAGCAUAUUCUCCGUUGCAGUGCUUCCAAGUGCUUCCAAUUCUGCAGGUUGAAGUGAUAAUCAUCUCAACUGAUUCUUAUUUCAUAGAAAUUGUGUUUCACACGUAAGGUGAAUCAUGACGCCAAAAAUCAUCUAGCAUACAUAUAUUUUGGCUCAAGGCCUCGAUAUAUUCGCUAAUGAUUUUAAAAUGUAUCUAAAGUAACACUUUUUUUUAAUAAACCAUAAUCACUUAAUAAAAAAUAUAAUACUUUUAGAAAAUCUGAACCAAUUGCAUGAAAGCACAUGUGAUAAUGGUAAAUAAACAAUCAAUCAUAUAUAGGUUCUUUCUCUAUACCCUCUCUGAAUUUUUGAGAGAGAGAGAGAAAGAGAAAGAAUGAAACCUUUUUUUUUAUCUUAGAUCAUUAUCUGUUCUUCUUCCGGUGUAUCUGGAUCUUUAAUUCCGCCGCGGAACUUUUGUUUCCGUUUUGUCCGGGUUAUAUAUCCCUCUUUCGCAAAACGAUUUCCAUCCUGUUUUUUCUUUGUUUGCAUUUCAUCUUCUCCGAUCAUGCUCAUAUUCCUUUUUUAACCGAGUCUAAUUUUUUCUCUUCUUAAGCUUAUUUUUCUCGGAUGAAAAGAUGAAGAGGUAUUGGAUUUAACUUGAUCUAUGGAAAAAUUCAGUAAAGUUGCCAUCUUUAGUUGAAGAUGAUCCAAUAUAGGAUAUGCUCUAAAUCGGUUAAGCUUUUCCUUUUUAAACAAUCGGCGGUAGUAUAAUUUCUAACAGAAAGCAGCGGUUGAUUGCGAAAGAAUGAGUUCAAUGAAUACAAAUCCAGGAUACAAUGAAGAGUUGAGGAAGGGAAGAUGAAGCUGUGUCGGCGGUUCAUGGUCGGACUCACUGGAAAUGAACGUCGUGAAGCUUGCCAGCGGAACUGAAGUUUCAAUAUGAAUGUUUCUUUCCUGACAUGUGUUGUACGUAGUAUUUUCUGUUAAGCAUCCACAUGCAAUGUUUUAUAUUUUUUAUAUAUUAUUUUAUCAACUUAAAUUUAUUAAUAACGUAAAAUACAGUUAUAUACAUGAUAACGAAAAAACAACACAUGCCAUAAUUUAAAUUAGGUCAAAUAAAAUAAGCUGAGAAGAGUAUUUCCUUUGAGGGGUCACUGUUAAUAGAGUGUCAACUCUAUUAAUUUUCUUGCAAUUUGUAAAUCUUAGCUGCAUUGUAAAGCAUCCUUCUCUUUAUUUUAUUACACUGGUGUUAUUCCAAUUUAGAUCCAUAUAUAUUUUUUGGUUUAAAAUCUAAUAUAUUGAUUCAAUCAUAAAAAAUAAGAAUUAAAAAAAUAAUUUAUAACGAUUGCACGAAUAUUCUCAUACAACAAAAAGAUACUUCUUCCACUUCGUAUUGUUGCUUUCUCUUUGAUGUAUUUCAUGAUUUUAGUGAUAUGUUUUGAUACCAAGUAUAUGUAUCAAAACGUAAAUUCGAAACAUUAUUCCUUGAUUGAAAGAAAACUUCUUUUGAUCUCGAACUCCUCUUCCGCUUGUUGAAUCCAUGGUGGUUUUUAGUGCACGUUGUUUCCUUAACAAAUAUGUUAAGAUUUGUUUCAAACACCAGAAAGUUAUUAUGUAAGUAUGAUAACCACCAAAACCUCUUGAUUCUGCAUUCAACCCAAAACAACCAGCCGGAUAUUGUAACAGCAAAUUGGAAAACAGAAUUGAAUCUGCCACAAGUAGAAUUGGAAAACUUUUCAACUAGAGAGAAGACGAAGGACACAUAAGUAUCGUGAUACUCCAUUGGCGCAUUUAUUCAUGCCUGGACCAAAAGCAAUAGGAAAAUUGAGAGAAGAAGACAACGUGUUCAAAACGCCACUAACCACUUUGUUGUUGCCUAGUGGCUUUUUGUAGUAUGUAUUGCUUAUCAAGAUUUAUACCACUUGACUCGUGAGAUAUUAAUAAAACAUAAAGUUGACCCAAAAAAAAAGAAAGAUGUUAACAAUAUCCCAAAGUUUCAUAAUGAGAAUUUUUUGUAAUUUUCUCUCUUAACUUCUGUAGUUGUUCUUUCUGAAAUUGAUAAGAGAUACCAUAUGAUUUUCUGCCAAUGGAGAAGGUCUAGUCAUCUCUAUUCUCGUUUCCACUCCUAAGACUUACCUUAAAUACAAUUUUUCCACACAUAAAAAUGUCCCUAUUCCCUAAUUCUCUGUCGUCUUAACUUAUGAUCCUUAUUGUUCUAUCAUCCCGACAAAACGAAAUUCCAUUCACCGUAGCUUUAAGUAGAUAAAUAAACACACGGAGUAGACAUUGUUGGAUAUAAAAGACUAAAUUGUAGACAGUGUAGAAAUUUCAUGGAAACCGUUCUUCUUUUUCUUGGUCUCAAAAGUCAGUCAACGGUGGACCCGUAGUAGACUCACUCACCACAGCACCACCCAUGGUUUUGUCAUCAAUUAUACGCUCAUCAUUUCUUAUUUUCGUUUUCGUCAUCAUACACUCUUCUUCUCCUAUCUUCAUCUCCCUCAUUCUCAAUCCUUCAACAGUUCUCAUAUUUCAGUUCCAAUGAUCAGUCACGCUCUGUUAGUCAUCUGUAUUCUCGUUUCCGCUGCCGUCCUAGGAGAUGCAACAGCAGCAUACAAGCCUACCGAUCUCUUUCUCAUCAACUGUGGCACUAGCUCUGACACCAUAGACUCUCAAAGCCAAACAUGGACGUCGGAUCAGCAGCAUCUUCUCACGUCAAAUUUAGACAACGUUUCGUUCUCUUCAAAUGCAUCUUACCAAGAAGAGGUUCCUCAAGUGCCCUACACGACGGCUCGCGUAUUCCUAUCCAACGUUGACUACAGUUUUCCAGUCUCUCCCGGCUGGAAAUAUCUCCGGUUGUACUUUUACCCGACCCGGUACGAAUCUGGUUUUGACGCCGCAAGUUCCUUCUUCUCAGUCACAGUUAACGGUUUCACUCUCUUGAAGAACUUCAGCGCCGACUUAACGGUAAAAGCUUCCAAGUCGAAAUCCUUAAUCAAAGAGUUUAUCGUUCCGGUUAACCAGACUCUGAAUCUCACGUUCACGCCGUCUCCGAGUUCGUUAGCUUUCGUUAACGGCAUCGAGAUUGUCUCCAUGCCUGACGGGAGUUACUCAAAGGGAGGCUUUGACAAUAUGAUAACGAACGUUGGUAGUACCAUUGACUUCAUUAUCAAAAACACUACCGCUUUCGAGACUGUUCAUCGGAUAAACGUUGGCGGGCAAAUGGUGGAUGAGGUCGGUGACACUGGAAUGUUCCGGCGGUGGCUUCCGGAUGAUGAUGUCAUACUAAGUGAGAAUUCAGGAAUGAAACCGGAUGUAACGGGUGUGAAGAUAAACUACACAGAUAAGACUCCCCUUUAUGUCGCGCCGGAAGAUGUGUACAAGACGUAUCGUACGAUGGGGAACGUCGGCUACCCAAGGCUGAACCUGAACUUCAAUCUGACGUGGCUCUUCCCAGUUGAUGCCGGGUUUCUAUACCUAGUAAGGCUUCAUUUCUGUGAGACUCUAUCGGAUGUGAACGGAUCUAACCAACGUGUCUUCACCAUCUUCAUUGGAAAUAAGAUUGCAAUGCUUGACAUGGAUGUCAUUCAGCUGAGCGGUGGUUCUCGCAUUCCGGUGUAUCUAGACUUCAGUGUGCUUGUUGGUUUUGAAAGUGGGCCGAGACCUGAUCUACGACUUGACUUGCAUCCUUACACGGA